rnacentral:rRNA from 1 species
UACGUAGGGGCCUAGCGUUGUCCGGAUUUACUGGGCGUAAAGAGCGCGCAGGCGGUCGUGCAAGUCGCGUGUGAAAGCCCCCGGCUCAACUGGGGAGGGUCACGCGAUACUGCUCGACUGGAAGGCAGGAGAGGGUAGUGGAAUUCCCGGUGUAGUGGUGAAAUGCGUAGAUAUCGGGAGGAACACCAGUGGCGAAGGCGACUACCUGGCCUGUUUCUUGACGCUGAGGCGCGAAAGCUAGGGGAGCAAACGGG